GACGAGCGCUGGCGGCGUGCUUAACACAUGCAAGUCGAACGAUGAAGCCUAGCUUGCUAGGUGGAUUAGUGGCGAACGGGUGAGUAAUACGUGAGUAACCUACCUUUAACUCUGGGAUAAGCCUGGGAAACUGGGUCUAAUACCGGAUACGACCAAUCUCCGCAUGGGGUGUUGGUGGAAAGCGUUAUGUAGUGGUUAUAGAUGGGCUCACGGCCUAUCAGCUUGUUGGUGAGGUAACGGCUCACCAAGGCGACGACGGGUAGCCGGCCUGAGAGGGUGACCGGCCACACUGGGACUGAGACACGGCCCAGACUCCUACGGGAGGCAGCAGUGGGGAAUAUUGCACAAUGGGCGCAAGCCUGAUGCAGCGACGCCGCGUGAGGGAUGACGGCCUUCGGGUUGUAAACCUCUGUUAGCAGGGAAGAAGAGAAAUUGACGGUACCUGCAGAGAAAGCGCCGGCUAACUACGUGCCAGCAGCCGCGGUAAUACGUAAGGCGCGAGCGUUGUCCGGAAUUAUUGGGCGUAAAGAGCUUGUAAGCGGUUUGUCGCGUCUGCUGUGAAGGCCGGGGCUUAACCCCGUGUAUUGCAGUGGGUACGGGCAGACUAGAGUGCAGUAGGGGAGACUGGAACUCCUGGUGUAGCGGUGGAAUGCGCAGAUAUCAGGAAGAACACCGAUGGCGAAGGCAGGUCUCUGGGCUGUAACUGACGCUGAGAAGCGAAAGCAUGGGGAGCGAACAGGAUUAGAUACCCUGGUAGUCCAUGCCGUAAACGUUGGGUACUAGGUGUGGGGGACAUUCCACGUUUUCCGCGCCGUAGCUAACGCAUUAAGUGCCCCGCCUGGGGAGUACGGCCGCAAGGCUAAAACUCAAAGAAAUUGACGGGGGCCCGCACAAGCGGCGGAGCAUGCGGAUUAAUUCGAUGCAACGCGAAGAACCUUACCAAGGCUUGACAUAUACUGGACCGCAUCAGAGAUGGUGUUUCCCUUCGGGGCUGGUAUACAGGUGGUGCAUGGUUGUCGUCAGCUCGUGUCGUGAGAUGUUGGGUUAAGUCCCGCAACGAGCGCAACCCUCGUUCUAUGUUGCCAGCACGUUAUGGUGGGGACUCAUAGGAGACUGCCGGGGUCAACUCGGAGGAAGGUGGGGAUGACGUCAAAUCAUCAUGCCCCUUAUGUCUUGGGCUUCACGCAUGCUACAAUGGCCGGUACAGAGGGUUGCGAUACUGUGAGGUGGAGCUAAUCCCUAAAAGCCGGUCUCAGUUCGGAUUGGGGUCUGCAACUCGACCCCAUGAAGUCGGAGUCGCUAGUAAUCGCAGAUCAGCAACGCUGCGGUGAAUACGUUCCCGGGCCU
rnacentral:rRNA from 1 species